GUGUUUCAGUAUGACAUAUACUAAAAUUGAAACAAUACAGAGAAGAUUAGUAUGGCCCCUGCAACAAGGAUAACACAUAAAUUCUUGAAGCAUUCCAUAGUUUU